CGACGGGGCGGCUACGGUGGCGGUCAUGAACGAGGGGUCGUCGUCCAUUUCAAUCGAGACUAAUGAAGAGGCGAUAUGGCAAAUGAAUUUGAGGGAACUGGAGUCCGAACUAUAUCUUGAGCAUCCAGGGGGAUCUGGUCAAUUGCAUUGAAUCCUAGAAUUGUGAAGCUGGAGCAGCAAAUGAGGCAAUUAAACCCCAGAAUUGUGAAGCUCGAGCAACAAAUGAGGCAAUUGAACUCCAUAAUUUUGAAGUUGGUGCAACAAACUCAACAAUUGUGAAGCAGAAGCAACAAAUGAGGUGAUUUAAACACUAGAAUUGUUAAGCUGGAGCAACAAAUAAGACAAUUGAACCAUAGAAUUGGGAAGCUGGAGCAACAAAUGCGGCGAUUGAAGCUCAAAACUGUGAUGCUAGGAGAAACAACUAAAAUCAACCAGGAAUGUGUAAAUUCUGAAAUACAUUUCAGCCAUCUAAUGCUAUAACUUAUUUUUGUUGUGAGAACCCAAUCCAACCCCUCGCCCUUCAUGCUCGUCGAGUUUGUUGUGAGAACCCAGUGCAAGCACUCACCCUUCAUGCUUAUCAAGGAGGAGGAAAGGAGAGGGAACUUCGAAUGUGAAAGAAGUUGAAUUGUAGAGAAUGCCCUUGGAUGAGGUAUAUUGGAUAUUUUAUGUUGUCAAAUUUUAAUGUUAAUUUGGUUUUUUGUUGUAAAA